rnacentral:tRNA from 1 species
UCAGAAGUACCGCCAUGGUUAACGGGUGUGCCUGCUAAGUACAUGCUCUUUGAGCGCGCGAGUUCGAAUCUCGUCCUCACCG